GAGGAACAACAUCCCAAGUAUGGCUUGUGUCCAAAGCAUCAAACUCCUUUCCCAUGGCAUCCUGCCAUGCUGGAACAGAUGCAGCUUGAGAGUAAUAUAGAGGUUCAGAUUCCAAAUAAGAGGAAGAUGAAGAUCCAGAGAAGGCAGGAAGUUGACAGACAUAAUCCUUAAGAUAAGAGGAAGGAUUAUGCUGUCUUUGAGAUUUUCUGGGAGCAGGAACAGAAGGGGAAUAGGCCAAAGCAGGAGGGAAGAUAUCAGGAUCGAAAGAAGGAAUUAAAGCAGAAUCAGUAGAGUCAGGAGCAAUAGGAUGAGGUGCUUGAAUAGAUGUAGGAGGAAGAGGAGAGGAGAUGGGAAUGGGAGAAUCUGGAUCAUCAGAAUGUUCUACAGGUGGAACAAAAGGAAAGGAUAAAGCAGAAGGAUGAACAGAAGAGGAUGCAGUUUUAAAAAGAAAACAGG
rnacentral:lncRNA from 1 species